rnacentral:rRNA from 1 species
GACGAACGCUGGCGGCGUGCCUAAUACAUGCAAGUAGAACGCUGAAGGAGGAGCUUGCUUCUCUGGAUGAGUUGCGAACGGGUGAGUAACGCGUAGGUAACCUGCCUGGUAGCGGGGGAUAACUAUUGGAAACGAUAGCUAAUACCGCAUAAUAGCAGUUGUUGCAUGAUAACUGUUUGAAAGGUGCAAUUGCACCACUACCAGAUGGACCUGCGUUGUAUUAGCUAGUUGGUGGGGUAACGGCUCACCAAGGCGACGAUACAUAGCCGACCUGAGAGGGUGAUCGGCCACACUGGGACUGAGACACGGCCCAGACUCCUACGGGAGGCAGCAGUAGGGAAUCUUCGGCAAUGGACGGAAGUCUGACCGAGCAACGCCGCGUGAGUGAAGAAGGUUUUCGGAUCGUAAAGCUCUGUUGUAAGAGAAGAACGAGUGUGAGAGGGAAAGUUCAC